rnacentral:rRNA from 1 species
UACGUAGGGUGCAAGCGUUAAUCGGAAUUACUGGGCGUAAAGCGUGCGCAGGCGGUUAUGUAAGACAGAUGUGAAAUGCCCGGGCUUAACCUGGGAACUGCAUUUGUGACUGCAUGGCUAGAGUUUGGCAGAGGGGGGUAGAAUUCCCAGUGUAGAGGUGAAAUUCGUAGAUAUUGGGAAGAACACCGGUGGCGAAGGCGGCGCUCUGGACCGAGACUGACGCUGAGGAGCGAAAGCGUGGGGAGCGAACAGG